AGAGUUUGAUCCUGGCUCAGAUUGAACGCUGGCGGCAUGCUUUACACAUGCAAGUCGAACGGCAGCACGGGCUUCGGCCUGGUGGCGAGUGGCGAACGGGUGAGUAAUGCGUCGGAACGCGCCGAGUAGUGGGGGAUAACGCAGCGAAAGCUGUGCUAAUACCGCAUACAUACUGAGGUAGAAAGUGGGGGACCUUCGGGCCUCACGCUAUUCGAGCGGCCGACGUCUGAUUAGCUAGUUGGUGGGGUAAAGGCUCACCAAGGCGACGAUCAGUAGCGGGUCUGAGAGGAUGAUCCGCCACACUGGGACUGAGACACGGCCCAGACUCCUACGGGAGGCAGCAGUGGGGAAUUUUGGACAAUGGGCGCAAGCCUGAUCCAGCCAUGCCGCGUGUCUGAAGAAGGCCUU
rnacentral:rRNA from 1 species